rnacentral:rRNA from 1 species
UACGGAGGGUGCAAGCGUUAUCCGGAUUUAUUGGGUUUAAAGGGUCCGUAGGCGGACCCGUAAGUCAGUGGUGAAAUCUCAUAGCUCAACUAUGAAACUGCCAUUGAUACUGCGGGUCUUGAGUAAAUUUGAAGUGGCUGGAAUAAGUAGUGUAGCGGUGAAAUGCAUAGAUAUUACUUAGAACACCAAUUGCGAAGGCAGGUCACUAAGAUUUAACUGACGCUGAUGGACGAAAGCGUGGGUAGCGAACAGG